UUUACUUAGAGUUUGAUCCUAGCUCAGGGUGAACGCUGGCGGCGUGGAUAAGGCAUGCAAGUCGAGUGGGUUUAGACCCACGGCGAACGAGGUAGUAACGUGUAGGUAUCUGCCCUCAAGUCAGGAAUAUCCCAUCGAAAGAUGGAGCAAUACUUGAUAGUCUCUACGGAGUAAAGAUUUAUCGCUUGAGGAAGAGCCUGCCUAAUAUCAGCUUGUUGGUAAGGUAACGGCUUACCAAGGCUAUGACGUUUAGGGGAGCUGAGAGGCUGACCCCCACCGACGGAACUGAGACACGGUCCGUACCUCUACGGAGGGCAGCAGCCGAGAAUAUUCCGCAAUGGACGAAAGUCUGAC
rnacentral:rRNA from 1 species